AUUGAACGCUGGCGGCAGGCCUAACGCAUGCAAGUCGAACGGUAACAGGAAGCAGCUUGCUGCUUCGCUGACGAGUGGCGGACGGGUGAGUAAUGUCUGGGAAGCUGCCUGAUGGAGGGGGAUAACUACUGGAAACGGUAGCUAAUACCGCAUAAUGUCGCAAGACCAAAGAGGGGGACCUUCGGGCCUCUUGCCAUCGGAUGUGCCCAGAUGGGAUUAGCUUGUUGGUGGGGUAACGGCUCACCAAGGCGACGAUCCCUAGCUGGUCUGAGAGGAUGACCAGCCACACUGGAACUGAGACACGGUCCAGACUCCUACGGGAGGCAGCAGUGGGGAAUAUUGCACAAUGGGCGCAAGCCUGAUGCAGCCAUGCCGCGUGUAUGAAGAAGGCCUUCGGGUUGUAAAGUACUUUCAGCGGGGAGGAAGGGAGUAAAGUUAAUACCUUGGCUCAUUGACGUUACCCGCAGAAGAAGCACCGGCUAACUCCGUG
rnacentral:rRNA from 1 species